rnacentral:rRNA from 1 species
GCCCAAUCUUGUCUGAUCUCAGACGCUAAGCAGAGUUGGGCCUGAUUAGUUCUUGAAUGGGAGGCCGCCUGGGAAUACCAGGUGUUGUAGGCA